GCCAUCUUGGUCCUUUGUACUUUUGAAGUAAAGAAUUCAAAUGAGAGACACAGGCAAGGUUUAAAGCACCAGGGAACGUCUAUUUUAAGAAAUGCUCUCUGUCUCCACUCUUCGUUCUUCCCCUGAGUGGGCUGUCCUUCAAUUACUGCAUGCCCAGUGGCCUUGGCAGUAGGCACAGGAUGUUCGGGAGGAGACCCAGAGCAACAUCCAGACUCCAGAAUGCAGCUGCCAAGGAGACCCUGUUACGCUGUGGGGACUGGCAUGGCAGGCGGCUCUGGCUUCCCACCCUCUGUUCUGAGAUGGAGGUGGUAGGCAGUAUCUCA